UAGGAUAUAGCUUAAAUAAAGCAAUUUGCUUACACCAAAAAAAUAUUUGUUUAAUCCAAAUUAUUCUAU
rnacentral:tRNA from 1 species